rnacentral:rRNA from 2 species
CUAAGCGUGAAGUGAAGCACAUAAACCUGCUGAAUUUAAGCAUAUAAGUAA